rnacentral:lncRNA from 1 species
AGACAGCGUGCACAACAAGGUACGGGUCUUUCGAAUUUCUUGUGAUGCCUUUUGGCCUUACUAAUGCACCCGCCACAUUUUGCACACUCAUGAACAAGGUACUCCAACCAUUCCUCGACCGCUUCGUGGUCGUGUACUUGGACGACAUUGUGGUGUAUAGCACCACACUCGAGGAUCAUGCCCAACACUUGCAACAAGUCCUCCAAGUACUUCGAGACAAUGAGCUCUUCCUCAAACUAGAGAAGUGCUCGUUUGCCCAACAAGAGGUAGAGUUCCUUGGCCACAAGAUUGCGGGCGGGAAGAUCAUGAUGGAGAAUGACAAAGUAAAGGCCAUCCUCGAUUGGGAGCCUCCCUCGAAAGUACCCGAGCUUCGCUCAUUCCUUGGGCUGGUGAAUUACUACCGCCGCUUCAUUAAGGGCUAUUCAGCCAAGGCGGCACCCUUGACGGAUAUGCUCAAGAAAAACAGAAAGUGGCAUUGGUUCGAAGAGUGCCAACGUGCAUUCGAGGAGUUGAAGAAGGCAAUUUCGGAGGAACCAGUCCUCGCUCUUCUGGACCACACCAAGCCCUUCGAAGUUCAAACGGAUGCCUCAGAUUUCGCCAUAGGUGGAGUCCUUAUGCAAGAAGGCCACCCAAUAGCGUUCGAGAGUCGAAAGCUAAAUGACACGGAACGCCGCUACACGGUGCAAGAAAAGGAGAUGACAGCCAUCAUCCAUUGUCUAAGAGUGUGGCGACAUUACUUGCUUGGCUCACACUUCACGAUCAUGACGGACAACGUGGCGACAAGCUACUUUCAAACUCAAAAGAAGUUGAGUCCGAAGCAAGCACGGUGGCAAGAUUUCCUUGCGGAAUUCGACUAUCGGCUAGAGUACAAACCGGGGAAAGCCAAUGUUGUUGCGGACGCUUUAAGCCGCAAGGCGGAAUUGGCAACACUUAGUAUGAGCCAACCGAAGUCCAACCUUGUCUCACGCAUCAAGGAAGGCCUCCAACAAGAUCCGCUAGCAAAGGAUUUGCUGGAGAAGGUGCUCGAGGGAAAGACAAGGCAGUUUUGGCAAGAGGAAGGCAUCCUCCUCACCAAUGGAGAUUGGCUGUUUGUGCCAAGGUGGGGAAACUUGCGGAAGGAAGUAAUCAAGGAGUGCCACGACUCUAAGUGGGCUGGUCAACCAGGAAUCGAGCGCACCACCGCACUAGUUCAAGCCUCGUAUUUUUGGCCCCACAUGAGGGACGACAUCGAGGUAUAUGUGCGAACUUGUCUUGUGUGCCAACAAGAUAAGGUGGAUCAUCAACUUCCAGCGGGAUUGUUAGAGCCGCUACCACUAGCAACAAGGCCAUGGGAGAGUGUCUCCAUGGACUUCAUCACAUCGCUGCCCAAGUCCGAAGGUUGCGGUAGCAUCAUGGUCGUUGUCGACCGAUACAGCAAGUAUGCUACAUUCAUUGCCGCACCCGUCGAUUGCAAAGCGGACGAGGCAGCCCGCCUAUUCGUCAAGCACAUUGUGAAGCUUUGGGGAGUUCCGAAGAGCAUUGUGAGCGACCGAGACCCUCGGUUUACUGGGCGGUUUUGGACGGAGCUCUUUAAGAUGUUGGGGACCGAUCUCAAGUUCUCGACAAGUUUCCACCCACAAACGGAUGGGCAGACCGAGCGCAUUAAUGGCCUCCUCGAGAUGUACCUGAGGCAUUAUGUGAGCGCUCACCAGCGGGAUUGGGCGAAGCUACUCGACAUCGCCCAAUUUUCUUAUAACUUGCAGCGAAGCGAGGCUACAGGCAAGAGUCCGUUCGAGAUCAUCAUGGGAUUCCAGCCCAUGACCCCCAAUGCCAUAGCCUCGACUUACGGAGGGAAAAGCCCCGCGGCACACAAGCUCGCCCGCGAAUGGCAUGAGGAAGCGGACAUCACGCGAGCCUAUCUCGACAAAGCCGCGAGGAAAAUGAAGAAAUGGGCGGAUACAAGGAGACGGCAUGUUGAGUACAAGGAAGGAGAUCAAGUCAUGAUCAAGCUCCUACCCCAACAAUUCAAGACUUUGCGGAAAGUUCACAAGGGGUUAGUGAGGCGCUACGAGGGACCCUUCCGAGUUGUUCGACGUGUAGGCAACGUCUCGUAUCAACUCCAACUUCCACCAAGACUCAAGAUCCAUCCGGUCUUCCAUGUAAGCCUUCUCAAGCCAUAUCACGAAGACAUGGGAGAACCAAGUCGCGGAGAAUCGAGGCGCGCGCCAACUGCCGUUGUCACCGCAUUCGACAAAGAUGUGGACUACAUCAUUGCGGACCGAACGGUUUCGAGGAGGGGCGUGCCAGCACAUAGCGAGUACUUGGUGAAGUGGAAAAACCUCCCCGAGAGCGAAGCCACUUGGGAACGGGAAGAUGAUUUGUGGCAAUUCGCUGAGCACAUCCAGCACUUCAAGCACGAGAGCGCGACGAGGACGCCGCGAGCUUAAGUGGGGGAGGAUGUUGCGGACCGCCCAAUUCGCUAGCCCAAUUGCCCACAAUUUCGGGCUAGAGAGCCAACACAAGGCCAAGAGUGCUAGCUUGGCCCAAUUCCGGAAGGUUCUAGGCAACUCUAGCACAUGUGAACAUGUAAAUAUUCUAGAAUACUUUAUACAAUUCCAGCACAUGCAAAUAGCUAGGAAAUUGUAAAAUACUCUAGAGUUUGACCAAGUUUGGCAAAGUUAGGUAAAGUUAGGCAAAGUUAGGCAAAGCCUCCCCUAUAAAUAUGGGAUGGCAUUAAGCAUUUGUAUCCAACAAGCACUGUAAUCUCUCUUUGUGCAAUACAAGUUUCUUUGGCUCAAUUGCUCUCUUCUCUUGUUUGAGAAUCUCUAGGCUUACUUAGCAACAUUCGGCAAAGUUGUCUAAGUGCCGCACGGGUUAGCUGCGCAAAACACUCAUCCUGUGACAAUAUGCUCAUGUAAAGUAGGGUAAACUGGAACCAAGAGCAUUGAAAUGUAGGUUUUUAGGGGUGGCCUCCUUGAGAUGUACCUGAGGCAUUAUGUGAGCACUCACCAGCGGGAUUGGGCGAAGCUACUUGACAUCGCCCAAUUUUCUUAUAACUUGCAGCAAAGCGAGGCUACAGGCAAGAGUCCGUUUGAGAUCAUCAUGGGAUUCCAGCCCAUGACCCCCAAUGCCAUAGCCUCGACUUACGGAGGGAAAAGCCCCGCGGCACACAAGCUCGCCCGCGAAUGGCAUGAGGAAGCGGACAUCACGCGAGCCUAUCUCGACAAAGCCGCGAGGAAAAUGAAGAAAUGGGCUGAUACAAGGAGACGGCAUGUUGAGUACAAGGAAGGAGAUCAAGUCAUGAUCAAGCUCCUACCCCAACAAUUCAAGACUUUGCGGAAAGUUCACAAGGGGUUAGUGAGGCGCUACGAGGGACCCUUCCGAGUUGUUCGACGUGUAGGCAACGUCUCGUAUCAACUCCAACUUCCGCCAAGACUCAAGAUCCAUCCGGUCUUCCAUGUGAGCCUUCUCAAGCCAUAUCAUGAAGACAUGGGAGAACCAAGUCGCGGAGAAUCGAGGCGCGCGCCAACUGCCGUUGUCACCGCGUUCGACAAAGAUGUGGACUACAUCAUUGCGGACCGAACGGUUUCGAGGAGGGGCGUGCCAGCACAUAGCGAGUACUUGGUGAAGUGGAAAAACCUCCCCGAGAGCGAAGCCACUUGGGAACGGGAAGAUGAUUUGUGGCAAUUUGCUGAGCACAUCCAGCACUUCAAACACGAGAGCGCGAUGAGGACGCCGCGAGCUUAGGUGGGGGAGGAUGUUGCGGACCGCCCAAUUCGCUAGCCCAAUUGCCCACAAUUUCGGGCUAGAGAGCCAACACAAGGCCAAGAGUGCUAGCUUGGCCCAAUUCCGGAAGGUUCUAGGCAACUCUAGCACAUGUGAACAUGUAAAUAUUCUAGAAUACUUUAUACAAUUCCAGCACAUGCAAAUAGCUAGGAAAUUGUAAAAUACUCUAGAGUUUGACCAAGUUUGGCAAAGUUAGGUAAAGUUAGGCAAAGUUAGGCAAAGCCUCCCUUAUAAAUAUGGGAUGGCAUUAGGCAUUUGUAUCCAACAAGCAUUGUAAUCUCUCUUUGUGCAAUACAAGUUUCUUCUUGGCUCAAUUGCUCUUUUCUCUAGUUCGAGAAGCUCUAGGCUUACUUAGCAACAUUCGGCAAAGUUGUCUAAGUGCCGCACGGGUUAGCUGCGCAAAACACUCAUCCCGUGACAAGUGGUAUCAGAGCUAAGGUUUGCACGCACGCAAAUUAGCUCACGAAGCAAUGGCCAACCCUUCGAACGUAGCACAAGAGGGGGUUGUUGGUGUGGAUGUUCCACCGGAGCCAAGCCGUGGCCGAGAGGGAGAACGCGCCCAAGGCAAGACUCGCGGCAAGUCCAAGGCCCUAUCCGUGGAUGCGUUGGAGCCUCGUGUAGGCACUCUCGAAAUAGCAUUGUCCGCCACUCAAGAUAGCCUCUUGGGAUUGGAGGAAAGAGUGGAUGGUCUCGAGGGAGAAUACGCCGAGUUCACGGUGGCCACAAAAGCUCUCAUCCAUGAGCAAGCGAACAUUCUCCGAGGUGAGUUUCGUUCUGCUGUACGGCCAAGGCGGAUGUACGGUACAGCAGUUUUCUUUUUCCGCAAAAACAAGGUCGCCAGAACGUCGUCGGAAUAAUUGCAUAUGCUUUAACUGUUGCUUAAGAGCUGAAUGAUGAUGAACCUAAGACUUAUCAGGAAGCUAUCACAGGCAAAAAACAAGCUGGAAUGGAAGAGGGCAAUGGAAGAAGAGAUGGCAUCCCUGAUGAAAAACAAGACCUGGGAAUUGAUUGAAAAACCAGCUAAAAGAUGGGAUACCUGGAGCUGAGCUUAGAAGAUUUAAGGCUAGACUGGUGGCAAGGGGCUUCACACAAAAGGAGAAAAGGAGGGAAUUGACUUCACUGAAGAAGUAUUUUCCCCUGUAGUGAGACAUGCUUUCAUUAGAAUUAUUCUUGCACUUGUGGCUGUUUAGGAUAUGCAUAUUGAGCAGAUGGAUGUAAAAGCACAAUUCCUGCAUGGUGAAUUACAAGAGGAAGAUGUAAUGCAACAACCAGAAGGGUAUGUGGCAUCUGGUAAAGAAGAUUUUGUCUGCUUACUUAAAAAGUCUCUAUAUGGGUUAAAGCAAUCACCUAGGCAAUGGUAUUUGAAGUUUGAUAACUUCAUGAUAACAGUAUGCCAUGAUAGGGAAGAGAUUAAUCAUCUAAAGAAAUUCUUAAGCAGAGAAUUUGAAAUACUUGGGGUAGCUAAGAGAAUUCUAGGGAUGGAUAUUAUCAGGAACAAGAGCAAGAAGAUUUUGUUCUUAACUCAACAGAGCUACAUUAAGAAGGUUCUAGUGAGGUUUGGAAUGAAUGAUGCUAAGCAAGUGUAGACACCAUUGGCAAACCAUUUCAAGUUGUCUGCGGCUCAGUGCCCUUAAAUUGAAGCAGAACAACAGAAAAUGACCUGUAUACCCUACUCAAGUGCAGUAGGUAGCCUCAUGUACGCCAUGAUACUCACCAGACCUGAUAUCUCAUAUGCUGUGAGUUUGGUGAGCAGGUUUAUGGCAAAUCCAGGCUAUGAACACUGGAGAGCUGUUCAGUGGAUUAUGAGGUACCUGAAGGGGACUUUGGAGGUUGGUUUGGUUUAUGGUGGAGAAGAUAAAAAUGGACACACACUAAUUGGUUAUGUAAAUGCUGACUUUGCUAGUGAUCUUGAUAAAAGGAGGUCACAGAUAAGGUAUUUGUUUACUCUGGGGGGCUGCACAGUUAGUUGGAAAGCAACAUUACAGAAUAUAGUGGCUUUAUCUGCUACAGAGGCAGAGUAUACUGCAGCAGCUAAAGCUUUCAAAGAAGCAAUUUGGCUGAAAGACAUGACAGCUGAGUUGGGAGCUAAGCAAGAGACUGUAACAGUAUACAGUGACAACCAGAGUGUUAUACAUCCUAGCAAGAAUCAAUCCCAUCACGAGAAAACAAAACAUAUAGAUGUUAAGUUGCAUUUCGUGAGGCUUGAGGUAUCAAGGGGAGCUAUGAAGUUGCUGAAGAUUCAUACUGAAGAAAAUCCAACUGAUAUGUUAACCAAGGUUGUGCCCACUGCCAAGUUCAUCAUUUGCAUGAACUUAGCAGGAAUCUGCAGGUGUUAAGAAGCUGUAAAUGGGGAGAAGACAAUGAGAAAUGAGGGAGUUAUGAGUGUUGAGUUCAAGGUGGAGAUUGUUGAAAUGAACUCAAACUCAUGUGAACAACUUGUCAUAUUAAAGUUGUAAAGAUGAGUGACAUGUCAUUUCAAGUUGAUCAAGAUUCCCGAACCGACAACUUGGUGAUGUCUUCCAAAACCAUUAACUCUCACGUGGUUAAUGCACACCUGUUCUAAGCUUAAACGACACGACUUGUUGUCGUUUAAGGAGGUUUUAAGUUACGCGUGAGAAACUCGUGAUCAGUUAGUUAAGGCUGUUGAUUUUGGAGGGAAUCUUCUGGAUCUGUAACGCCAGCAACAACUGAUAUAUAUAUAUAUAUACUGGUUCUGGUGUAGUCUUGUGGCAUCAAGGAGAGAGUGAUAAGGAAGGUAUAGUGAGAGUGAAGCUUUAUUGAGUGUUCUCUGUAUUGCGAGUUAUCAUUUCUGUAACCUUGAAGCUUAAUAAAGUUGCUCAUUGAGUUGUUUUUUUCAGUGGAUGUAGGCACCCUCAAAGGUGCUGAACCACUUAAGUCUUUGUGCAUUCUUGAUUCUUUGAGUUGUGUUUCUUUGAUCUGGUGAUUGUUUCAAUUAGCUUAGGUUUGGUUCUUAAAUCUUGGAGUCUAAGUUAGGUCUUGGCGUGUGAUUAAUCCAGUGAUACUAGUGUUAAUUUCACAACAUCUAACCUGUUUACCCUUUGAUGCCGUUGACCGCAAGUCACCUCUGUCCAUAGGUACAAGUUCAUAGAAUUAUUCCAUGAACUUGUAACACCUAGUGGAUCUUGAAGCUGUGACUUUAUAGCUAGCAAUGCAAGACAAUCUGCCUCGUUUGUAUUGGCACAAAAGCUUUGAUGAAAAUGAAUCAACAAGCCGAGACUGAUGGUAGCAAGGCAGCAAAAAAUGGAAAUGGAAUUAAGCAUGUUGAGUUUGAGACCAGUGAUCUGAAAAGACUAACGUAAGACAAUAAAUAAUUGUGAAUAAGAAGAGGAACUGUCGAUCAAGGUAAUAAUGCAUUGUAUGGAUAAGAUCACAGAUCUACGGCUGGCGUUUGAUUGUGAGAUUAACGGCUACAUAUGGUUUCAAUUGCAUGUGGGACCCAUGAAUUAAUGUGUGCACGAAAUAAAUAAAAUGUGUUUCUAUGGCCGAAAUUCAUGUGCAUGGAGAUGGAGAGAAUUAUGGUGGUAAUUCAGUGGGAAAAAAAUAAAUACAAUUUCAUGGAAUAAAAAAAAAAAAGAGUUUUGAUAUGGAGAGCUCUGAAAACCCUAAACCCUACGAAAACCCUAGUUUACUGAAAACGAUUCCACCACCGCUAGCUGAAGAUCGUUCCAUAAAAAAGGCUAAGUUUCGUAGCCAUGGAGCGGACGCAGAUAAUCCAACCCCCCUCUCUUUCAAGGAUGCGCUUGUGCACCCUGACCAAUACAGAAAUUCUGAUGAUACUGAGAUGGAAGAAGAAUGGGAAUUUGAACCUGGUGAUGUAACUGUCGGUGAUGAUGGCACCAUGCCCGUUAUCAAAUUUUCUAAACGAAUCCAGGAUAAAUUGAUUAAACCAUGGCAGAACUCUGUGGUGGUGAAACUGUUGGGGAGAAACAUUGGGUAUAAAGUCUUGUGUAAUCGGCUGAAGGUUAUGUGGCAUCAGAUUCAUGAUUUUUCAGUGAUUGAUCUUGAAAACAAUUACUUCCUAAUUCGCCUUAAAUCACCGGAGGAUGAUGUCUAUGCUCUAACCGAGGGGCCAUGGGUUAUCUUUGGGCACUAUUUAACAGUACAGCCGUGGACGCCUCAGUUUGACAGCACUGUUACUGACCUUGACUCUGCCAUUGUUUGGAUUCGGCUACCCGGCAUGGCUUUUCACUUCUAUGAUAAGAGAAUUUUGCGGAAGAUUGGUCAGAUUGUAGGUACCGUUAUCAAGAUCGAUUACCUUACUGAACUGCGGGAGAGGGGAAAGUUCGCAAGGAUCGCUGUCCGUAUCUCUCUUUCACAGCCUCUGUUGUCCCAGUUUAAUUUAGAUGGGAAGAUACAAAAGGUUGAGUACGAGGGAUUGCCAGUCAUAUGCUAUCAGUGUGGAAAGUAUGGCCAUAAUAGUAUUGUUUGCCAUAGUAAACAAAAAAUGAACGAAGCCAAUAAUGAUACUUCUGCGAAUAUUGUAUCAGCUAAUACGGCAGGUGGAAAGGAUGGUGUUGUAGCCAUAAGCACCAACAAGAGCGAGAAGUUUGGACCUUGGAUGAUUGUGGCAAGGAAAGGGAAGCCUAAAUUCAUUGUGGAAAAGGAGAACUUUACUGCUGCAGAGAGGAGUCAGCGAGCAACUAUUCCUGUUACAUCUCGGUUUGAUGCCUUAUCUGAGGACUCGGAAAAUAAUAAUACGGUGGAGGCUGCUGUAACGACCCCCAAUCUUGAACCCCCACAACGACAAACUAAAUCCAUUACCGAUCACUUCCACAAUCGGAAGAACUUGCCCCUGAAAACCCCUAGCAUUCUAAAACCUCAAAACCAACUAUCCAAAGGAAAGCAAGUGGCCAGAUCACACCACCCAGUAUUGAAACAGCAGAAUCUCACAGCUUCCACAUCCAUGCAUGCAAACUUACGUCCCAGUAAUACAAGAAUCCUACUUCCCACUGCCAAUGUCCCCAUCCCGAAUCCUUCACGCAUCUCCACUAGCUUCCCUCGAGACCCUACCUCUACUUUCACUUUAACAACCUUAGAUCCUCAAAAGCAUAUCGCAAUAACUUUUUCCACAAAAAACCAUGAGACCGUAGGCACCCCACCAGGUUUCCCACGUAACCAAACCUCAGUCAACUCUGAACAGCACCCUCACCCACCUCAAAUAAAUGAGCCUCCAGAGGACAAGGAGAAAGGGGAUAUAAAUUCAAUGGAGGAUUAUGUUGGUGCUUCUCAGCUUGCAUCCGGUAAUAAAGCGGAUGACAACAUGUCUGAUGAGGAAAACUCUUUUGUCAAUGAAACCCCGGGGAUGCAUGAUGAAACAGAGCUGGAGCUUUGUGCAUAAAUCUUUCAUGCUCACCCUCCUUAUUAGAUGCUUGUCAUGACGAUUUCCGUACUAUUCUGGAAUGUACAAGGGGCGAGGUCCCCAUCUUUUAGACGAGCUUUUGCUACCUUAGUUAAAAGCUAUAACCCUACGAUUGUUGUGAUCCUAGAGCCAAGAAUCAACGGCAAGAGAGUAGAUGAAUUUAUUAAAAAAAGUGGCUUUGACCGUUCUCAUCGUGUGGAGGCUACUGGUUUUUCCGGGGGUAUUUGGAUCUUGUGGAGGAAUUUUUUUGACGUCGAGAUUGCCCUCAAUCAUACUCAGUUUAUCCAUCUCAAAAUCAGUGUACAGAAUGUCCUCCAAUCUUGGGUCACUGCAGUCUAUGCGAGCCCAAAUUCAGCUGGACGUCGUGCUCUUUGGUAUCAUUUGAAUAACAUUGCGGAGUCGAUGCAUGAUCCCUGGAUUAUGGGGGGCGAUUUUAAUUCAAUUUUAUAUGCUGUGGAAAAACGUGGGGGUUCGGCUUUGAUCACGGGUAUUUGUCCUAGCUUCCACUCUUGGUUUCAUACUAAUCACAUUGUUGACUUGCAGUUCAGUGGACCUAAAUACACAUGGGCUCGCGGGAAUCUUUCAAAGCAGCUGGACCGUGCUAUGAGCAACCAGGAAUGGAUUCUAAAAUUUGAUAAUUAUUCGGUUACUCACUUGCCUCGGGUUGAAUCUGACCACCGGCCGAUUUUGGUCCGUUUUGAGCGUCAGAUUGGUUGUAUGGGGAGUGCUAAACCUUUUCGUUUUUUAGCUGCUUGGAUGACUGAUAACCGUUUUGGGGACUUUAUACAGGAUAGUUGGCAUAAAAAUCUCCCUUAUUCGCAAGCAGCUUCUAUGUUUACUAGUAAGGUGGUUCACUGGAAUAAAGAAGUUUUUGGAAACAUUUUUCAACGGAAAAAGCAGCUGCUAGCCCGUAUUGGAGGGGUUCAAAAGGCCUUAGAGAGUAAACCCCUUCGCAGCUUGUAUCAUCUCGAGGCCAAAUUACAACAGAAAUUUGAAGAAAUCUUAUCUCAAGAGGAAUUAUUGUGGUAUCAAAAAUCCCGCAAAGCUUGGAUCAGCUAUGGGGAUCAGAAUACCUCAUUUUUUCAUCAAAAAACUAUUACAAGGAGGGCUCGGAAUCGUAUCAAUGCUAUUAAGGAUGAUAGAGAUAUUUGGCUUUAUGACACCCAAAACAUUAAGUCUCAUGCCGUGUCCUUUUUCUCCACUCUCUACAAAUCUGAUCAAGACUCUCAUCGGCCUUAUCCUGUGCAAGGGUGUUUUCCUCGCAUUGAUCGUAUUAAUUUGUCAAUUCUUGCUAGCUCGAUUGACAACGAGGAAAUUCGUCAGGCAGUAUUUCAGAUGCAGCCUUUCAAAGCGCCUGGUAUUGAUGGCUUCCCGGCUGGAUUUUAUCAAAGUCCAGUGUUCGAUUAAUUAUGGAGACUCUUUCUGUUCUGGCAUACAAGAUAUCUUCAAAUCCCACAGUGUUCUUAGUGAAGCAAAUAAAACCCUCAUUGUACUCAUCCCAAAAUCGGAGCAUCCCACUUCCUUCAAGAUGUAUCGCCCUAUCAGUCUUUGUACCGUAUUUUACAAAACGGUGACUAAGAUUAUUGUCAACCGAUUGAAAAAUAUUCUCCCUGAUCUAAUUGGCCCCCAUCAGACAAGUUUUGUCCCUGGCCGGCAUAUCACUGAAAACAUUAUCAUUGCUCAAGAAGUGGUCCAUUCCAUGCGACGAAAGGUGGGCAAAAAAGGCUUCAUGGCUAUUAAAGUUGAUCUGGAAAAAGCUUAUGAUAGACUGAGCUGGAAUUUUAUCUAUGAGACCUUAACGGAGUUAGCCCUGCCUUUGGAUCUUGUUCGAUUAAUUAUGGAGUGCAUUACUUCUACGAGUAUGAAUAUUUUAUGGCAUGGAGAAUUAACGGAUGACUUCUCUCCUAGUAGGGGUGUAAGACAAGGUGAUCCUUUGUCUCCCUAUAUUUUUGUUCUAUGUAUUGAAAGAUUGAGUCAUGGGGUAUAUCAUUCCAUUCAUCAAGAUCUUUGGAAGCCUAUUCGCUUAUCUCGGCUGGGUACUCCAUUAAGUCAUCUUUUCUUCGCGGAUGAUCUUCUCCUCUUUGUCGAGGCUACUAGUGGGCAAGCACAGUGCAUCAAUUCAGUCUUAGAAGAAUUUUGCUUGAGCUCGGGCGCAAAAGUCAAUCAAUCCAAGACACAUGUUUACUUUUCUAAAAAUGUCCCGGAUGUUGUAGCCAGGAGCCUAGGGCGAGAUUUGGGUUAUACAGUCACGAAGGAUCUGGGCAAGUACUUGGGCAUGCCUUUGCUGCACAGUCGUGUUUCUAAGCAAACGUAUCAAGGGAUUUUAGAUAAAAUGGACCAAAAGCUUUCGGGAUGGGCAGCCUCUCAGCUUUCUCUUGCAGGGCGUAUCACUCUCACCCAAUCCGUCCUUCAAGCAAUUCCAAUUUAUGCUAUGCAGACUACAAACUUACCGGGAAGUAUUAAGACUAAACUGGAUCAAAUUUGUAGACGGUUCUUGUGGAGUGGGAAUGAUGAGCUACGAAAAAUGAGCUUAGUUAGUUGGCACAACAUUUGCCAACCAAAAAUGGCGGGUGGUCUCGGGUUCAAAAGAUUGGAUAUCAUGAAUGAAGCGCUGCUCUUGAAGGUUGCUUGGGAAUUAAUCACGGAGCCUAACAAACUUUGUGUCCAAGUGCUAUCCACAAAAUAUGGAGUUUCUUCAUCGGAUAUUCCUCAUGCACUAUCUACUCGGUACGGCUCCCAUUUGUGGAAAUCUGUGGGUCGAGUUUGGGAUGAUGCUAAGAGAGGGUUACGCUGGAACGUUGGUAAUGGGUUGAAAGUAAAAUUUUGGUGGGACUGUUGGGCAACGACACCCCAUCCUCUUGCGGAGUUAGUCUUACAGCCGAUUCCCCCUGACCUUUGUGAUUUGUAUGUUGCCGAUUUUGUCUCUACAGAUGGCUCUUGGAAUUGGCCAAAGUUUAGUCAUAUCCUGCCCCAUCAUGCAGUGAUGGAAAUUGCCUCAAUCCUCCCCCCGUCAGCUUGUAAUGGUGUUGAUCAAGUCUACUGGGCAGCCUCUCCACAAGGAAUCUUUACGGUUAAAUCUGCUUAUGAAUUUUUGGAUCACUCUCAUGUGCAGGACAAGGCCAUUUUAUGGCAGUUAGCCUGGUCCUGGAAGGGCCCGCAAAGCAUCAAGAUUUUUAUUUGGCUGGUUCUUCACAAUAGAUUAAAGACUCGGGCAGAGCUAGCUUCACGACACUUGAACAUUGAUCCAUAUUGUGAAAGGUGUGGUGCUGGUUUAGAGAAUACGAUCCAUGUGCUCUGUGACUGCCCUUAUUCGAGAGCGGUUUGGCUACGGCUUAUUCGAGGAGACAAUCAGCAGCAUUUUUUUGAGUCUAGCCUUGCAGACUGGAUGUCCGAGAAUUUGCAACCCCAGAGCACCUCCCGUGGUAAUAAACUUUGGAGAGUCAUCUUUGGCGUUGCUAUUUGGCGGCUUUGGUUUUGGCGAAAUCGGUUUAUUUUCACCAAAGAUUAUUGGGAGAGCACUAGCAUAGCAAUGGAUAUAAAAAUCAGGGCAGCUGAAAUUCAAAGAUGUAAUUCUUCCCUGAUUGCCACUGGCAGGAAUUGUAUCGAAAAAUGGAUUCGCUGGAGUGCUCCUACUUGGCCUUGGGUGAAGUUGAAUACUGACGGUGCCAUGAAACCUUCAGGCCACGCAGGAGCUGGCGGGCUCAUUCGUGAUUACAGAGGAGUUUGGCAGCUCGGUUAUAGUGCUAACUUAGGCGUUUGUUCAGUAACAUCUGCUGAGCUUUGGGGUUUACUUCAUGGGUUAUCCAUAGCUUGGCUUUAUGGCUUUCGUAGGGUGAUAGUGGAAGUGGACAGCAAGUGUAUCUUGCAGUUAGUCUCCAUUUCAAACCCAGUCACCAAUGAGCACUCUUCUCUAAUCCAAGCCAUCCAAGCACUUCUCCGACGUGAUUGGCUGAUUCAAUUGAACCAUAUCUAUCGGGAAGCAAAUGCAGCAGCAGACUUCCUGGCUACCUACAGCUUAUCCUUUCCUUUAGGUUUACAUUGCUUUCAAUCUCUCCCUUCAAAUAUGCUUAGCAUAUUAAACAAUGAUGUUUCUGGGGUUGCACACUCUCGUUUAGUGUUGCCUUAGCUCUUUUCAGAGCCCUUUAUUAAUCAAAAAAAAUAAAUAAAUAAAUAAAUACAAUUACGCUCCAUGAUCUGCUUAAAUAUAUUUGUAAAUCUCCUAGGUUUAAAAAAUAAUCAUAUAAAUAUCUUUUUUAUUAUUUUACUUUUCGACUCUAUUUUCCUAGAUACAUGGACUUCAAUCUAAUAUUUUAUAAUAAGGAUUUAUCUGUGAUACUAUAUUAUAUUUUUUAAGUAUUGAUAGCGGGAUUGUUGGGCACUUUUAAAUUUAAGUGUUUUGAUCUCAGUCAUUUAUUUAAUAUAAUUUAAUAAAAUAAAUAAAUAAUUAAUUAAUUAAAAGAUAACGGGUGAUUUUUAGGUUUCAAGUAAUUAAAACAAUACAAUCUUGCUAUUUUGAAUAUAAUUGGCUUAACCUAAAAAUAACCACAUGACAAAUGCAAGUUAUAAAUUAAUGAACAGAAGAAGCAAAAUGUUUGUAAAAAUCACUUGCAUCAAUCUGCUCUUACUAUAACAAACUUAGUCCAAUCCUUGGAAAAAAACACCGGUUUUCCACUCAAAUUCUACUGCCACAAUUGUUCGCGGGUUGUGCCGAGUGAUCGAAAGCAAGAAGCGUAGUUAGUUUCAGUCUUAGACAUGAGUUUAAGUACCUGAAAAAUAAUCAUCGAUAGCAUCUUAUACUUUUUAAAAAGUAAUCUAGUGGGAAUAGGACUUAAAUUCAUAAGAAUUCACUAUAAAUCAAUUAAAAUAACAAUAGCAGUUCAAAUUUUUGGGCACCAAGUGUUGGAAUAAAUCAUACUUUUCUAGAUUCAAUUUUAAAUGAAGCAACUUGAGAUAACAUAUUUAUUGUAUCUCUUUUUGCUUUUUUUUUUUAAAAAAAAAUUCUGAAAUCAUCCUUUUAACUGGAUUGGUAAUUGUUAUUUUAAAAAUAAUUAAAAUAAUAAAUAAAAACAUAAAUUUAAAUAAAAAUAAUCUCUAAGUUACAUUUAUUGGAACUGACAACUAAUAAGAAUAAUACAAAAAUGAGUAACAUGUAAGUGAUCUAUGUGGGACCAAUAUCUCAUUUUCACCUUUUUUUUUUAUAAUUGUGAGUUACAUUAAAAUAAAUGUAUUUGUGGGAGAAUAAAGUGAAGUUAGAAAAAAUAUCACAUCGUAAAUAUUGUUUGACCAUUGAAAUUUUAUUAUUAUUAUUUUUAUGAUUCAAAGUCUGAGAAAUCACAAAUCCUUGAGGUUGUUUGACAAUUAACAUAAUUUUUGGUAUUAUUAUUUAUUUUUACAUGAUUUGAUUGGGUUACUUCGUUCAUAUUAACAAAUUCAGUUCAGCUCAAUUAUUAAUUUUAUGGGCAUUUUUGAUAGUGAUGGAUCACUUGACACAAAAGUAUAGUGCUCCGGGUCAAUUUGAUUAGGUUCCCCCACGCGUGCAUUAUCAGAACCUUCGGGAGCGGCGGGUUUUGGCCGUUUAUGCUUAGCCUGACAAACAAUUCCCUUCAACUUUGGCGCUUUGUAGAAAUUUCCAUGAUUUUGAUGGAUUUUUGAAGUCAAUUACGUCGGUAAUCAAUUUUGAGUAAUAAAAUGGAUUCAAUACCACUAAUUGGCUCCGUCCAUUUUAAUGGCUUUUCCGAUAAGAAUAAUUUUAAUGAGAAAAGUAUUUUUCAAAAUUUUUCGAUCUUUUAUUUGAAUCAUUUAAAUAGACACAGACGUGUAUUUUGUAAGCGAAUGCGACCUUUUUUUUUUCUUUUUUUUUUAUAAAAAAAACAGAAAAUAAACUUUCAUUAAACAUCACAGUAAUAUUACAAUACAAUAGAUUUGUCGCAAUAUCACUUACGUACAUACACAAAUUAGAUAUAAAAAUGUAUUACUUACCACAGGGCCGGCUUUAGUGUAUAUGGGGCCUAAGGCAAAAUUUUUUGUGGGACUUUUUUUAUUUUGUAAUUUUAAUAUUUAAUGAAAUAUAAGACUAAAAAAUUAUACGACUUUUAACUCUUGAAUUUUAAUAGUAAUAAAAAAUAUCUUAAAAAUUUUCAAAAACCAAACCUAAAAAAAUAACCAAGAAAAUAUCUUUUUUACUUCCAUUAAAAUUAUUACAAAGAUAAACAAACAAAUAAAUACAAACAAUAUUAUUUUCAAAGAGAAUAUUUAGAAUAGUAGAAAGUUGAGAUGAUGAAUUGAUUAUCAAAUAAUAGCUAUGCACUUUGUAUUUUAAGAAACUAAUUUUUUUCUUUUUUAAAUGAAUCAAUGAAUGUAAUAAUUCUCUUCGUAAAAAAAAAGGCCAAGAAAUCUAUUUAUUUAUUAUCUUUUAUAUUACAAGGUUUUAAUGGAAAUUAAAAGGAAUAUUAAAAAUCAAAGAAUUUAAUUUUUUUAGGAAACUUAAAAGGUAAAAAAUUUAUUUAUUUUUUUGGAAAAACUAAUAAUGAAUGAAUUAAUGGCUAAACAAUUUUAUUAUUUAUAUCUCUUGAACAUUAAAGUUACCAAAUAUUGAUUUUCUACAGAAAAAAAAAAUAAUUCUUAGUUGUGGUAUAACCGUUAAUUAUAAAGAUGUCUAAUAGGCUUUUUUACAAUACAUAAUUUUAAAAAAAAUCUUUAUUAAUUAAAUAACUACUAAGAAAUACUAAAAAAAAAUGAGGCCUUAAAAAAAAUAGGACCUUAGGCAAUCCACUUAUUCGCCUAUAUUUAAAGACACCCCAAACUUACCGUCAACUGUUGGUAAGACCGUAACAAACAUACUGACGAUUAACAAAGAAAAAGUCCACUUUAAAUAUCGAGUGUCUCUGUCCCAAAACGAUAAUAUAAACAAACUAAUCGAGCUAUUCCACAUUAGCUCUUUCAGAUAACCCACACCAGUCGGGCUACAAGUCACGACUUUUGUCAUAUAAAUCUCCACUACUUUUAGCUUUCCAUACUGAUAUAGUAACACGAUUUAUGUAGAGAUCCAACCACAAUAGCUUGAAAUCUUCCAAAUCUGAGGUAUAGAAACCUUAGAUCUAGAAGAAAAGCUAGAUAUUCCAAACAAAAGAAAGGAGAAAAUAUAGAUCCACCACAGAUUAAAAUUCAGAUGGCCUGGUAACAAAACCCCAUAGAUCAAAGAUCUUGGAGUAAUCAACCUUCACAAAGAAGAAUGCUACCCUCACCAAGAGAGGAAAUAAAGCACAAAAAUUGGAAAAAAAGUUUGAAAGAAAGGUAUAUAAAUGUGACUUAAAUUGCACACUUAUAGUUGAUCAAUGCUUUGGUGCGGUCACUUCUGUAAUAUUCCAAUUCGCAUGUAUUCAUAAACAAGCCAGUGAGCCAGAGGCUUGAAAUUAACCCUUUUAAAAUAUUCGCUAGAGCAUAAAGUGAUUAUUUUGACGAGAUUUUGAUAGCAAAAUUUCUUAAUGCUUCACAUUUACUCAUCAAACUCCUAAAAUCCCAUUUCUAAUUAAGUCUUAAUGCUUCACAUUUAGUCAUUGUUGUGCGCAGAAUGUGGAAUCAAAUGCACAGAGGACACAUAAUUUACGUGAUUCAACAAUAUGCUUACGUCCACGAGAGUAAGAGAAAAAAUAAUUGUAUUACUAAUAAUUAUUAGAGUACAAAUUUGAGUAAAAAAACCUCAAUUUUUUCAGAAUCUAAAUACACCCAGUACUUUUACACACACUUGAAAGAAAAAAAAAAAAUCUCUCAAUUACACACUCUCCAAUUGCUCUCAAUUACACACUCUCCAAUUGCUCAAUCUCUUAAUAAUUCUUCACUUGAAUUAUUAAGCUCAAAUUUUUGGGAUUCUCUCAAAAUUUCACCGAGAUGGAGAAUUGUUGAAAAGUCAAAUAAUGGCUUGCCAAAUUUUUCUGUGAUUAUUUGGUGCGGUUAAUUUCGUAUUCUGCGCACAACAGUCACCAACCUCCUGAAAUCUCAUUUCUAAUUAAAAUUAAUCACCUUCACUGCAACUGCUGUCCUAUUUUCUCCCAAAAUCCCUUUGUUCAUAACUCCAAAGUUCCUUGAUCAAUCAUGUUUUGAUGAUGAAAAAUUGAAAAUUCAUCAAUCAGUAUUAGAAACAUAGUCUUUAUUGAUAUUAGAAUAGUGUAAAUAAUUACUUUCAGUGACACUUGUUAAUUGUGUCAGUAAUCUGAAUAGUGACACUUGUUUGUGGUGUCACAAAUAGAGUGUUAGUAAUUACUAUUACUACACUAUCACCAAUAUUAUGCCACCAUAGGGUUAGUAGUUGUUGAUAUUUUGUUAGUUUCUAUGAUUACUAUUACCACAGUAUUACUGUUUAAUUUAUUUAAAAAAAUAGAAAACUGAAUUGGAUCAUUGCCUAUUGAUUUAUUGGUAAGAUUAAAAGGCUCCACAAAAUAACAAAAAAAAUUGAUUUAUAUUACAAAAUCUUUCAUUUCACAUUUAAAAUAUUAUUAGUAUAUAUUACAAAUCCCAAAACUUCAAUAACCAAGAUAUGAGCUAUCCUACUGUCAUAACUAAAUAAUCUAAAUUAAAUACAUAAUGAUUUCUACCAUCCAAUCAAAUGCCUACUACUUGUGGCUAAAUUUAAUAAAUGUAGAAGCUAAAUUGAGAACGAUGACUGUCUUUAACUCUUUGAAUAUAAGUAGUGUAAUUGUGUUAUCACACCAGCAGCUUCUCUAUUCAAUAGACCGUAUGGGUUAGGACAUAAGUGAAGUUGAGGAAGAAAUACUUCAAAAACAUUCAUCAAAUCUGCAUAUGAAUACAUGGAAAAGGAAAAAAAAAAUUGGCUACCAAUUCCCAACCAUUGGCGAAACAACAAUUAAUUGAAAUAUAAUUAUUUUGUUUGAAAGAAAAAAUACUCAUAAGCUAUUUACAAAUAAACUCAAUUAUUUCAAAUGAAAAUGAGUGAAUAAGAAAGCUGUAGCUCAUUUAAUUAAAAAUACCUAAGAUAUGCAGUUUAUUCAACUAUAGAUAUAAAUAAGAAAAAAGGGAUCUAGUGAAUUUAUUCCAUUUUAGUAAAGGUUAUAUAUAUAGCAAAUUAUAGCAGACAAGAAGUUUUCAAUGUAAUAGCUACUUUCAACAAAAACAUGUUACUUUAUCCACAUCUACCAAAUGAUUUUCAUGCAUGGUUAAAAGUUAUCACAAAUACUCUAUUACAAAUAAAUCUUUGCUCAUUUCCUCAAUUUAUUCAUUCCAAAAGCCCUUUUAACAAGGCAAAAAAUAAGUUCUCGAACUGUUAUUUCCUUAAACUGUGCAUAAAAUAACUAUGAAUCUCCAUAUUUAUAUUAGACAUAAUGAAGUUUCGACAUAAAUUAUUUCAGUAAUUUGAGAGUUCGAUCCAAAAUCAUUACAACUAAAAAAAAUAAUAUUUAGAAACUUAGUUAAGCCUUUAUAAAGUGAGUAUGAGAUUUAUUAUACUAGUUAAAUCUAUUCAUGUGAACCAUUUAAAGAAUAUCACCCUAAAUUGUAAUUAAGUAUUCAUUAGUUUUGCAUGAAUAUAAAACUUUAAGAAGAUAAGAAAAUAAAAAUAGAAUAAAAUAUAAUCAUUAUAUAUUUCCACUCACAAGUAAGUAAUGUUGCAUUAACUUGAUUGACAUCAUCACCUAAAAUCACUUUAAACAUUUCCCCUAAACCUAGAAAGAAAAAAAAAACAGAACAAACUUUAAAAUAUAAUUAUCAUAUAUUAAGACAUGCAAGUAUAACAUAACUUUUUACUAGAAUAUUCAUGGAAUAAUUCAUAGUUCUUAAAAUUAAUACGCUACACUAAAUAGAUAUUUGACACAGUAAAUUAAUUUUCAAGAUAUUACUCAUAUGCUCAUCAUCCAAACUUAUUUCUUGAAACCCUUCAAAGUCUUAAACUAGGAUGUAAAACUCAAACCAACACAAAACAAGAAUGUAAAACUCAAAUUAAUCGCAAACCAUAGAAAUCAAUAAUCAAGCUAAUAUUUAAGUUAAAUCAAUUCAAUAAAAAAAGAAAAGAAAAGACUAACCUUUAAGAAUAGUCCCAAAUAUAAUGAAAAAAGAUUUACACCUUUGGUAGUUUAUUCAAGGGGUGUUCAGAAUCCAAUCCGAUCCGCUCAAUCCGUCCAAUUCGCUCAAUCCGAUCCGUAUAAAUCCGAUCCGUAGAUUGGUGGAUUGGAUAUGGAUUGAAAAUUUAAAAAUCCGCAGUCGAUGGAUUGGAUAUGGAUUUACUUCUAUAAAUCUACAGAAAUCUGUGAACAAUAAUAAUAUAAAAUAAAAAAUAAUUAAAUAAUCAAAUAUACAAAUAUAACUUGUAAAAAUUGUAAAACAAAAUAAAAGCAAAGUCACACGCACUAGCAAAAGCAAAGUAACAUAACGCCAAGUCACCAACAAUUUGCAAAGUCACCCAAAAGCAAAGUAACAUGACGCCAAGUCACCAAUAAUUUGCAAACAAAAAACCCUAAGCUUCCCCGCCGUCACACACACUAGCAACACUCAAUACUGGUUGGAUACACUCUCGACACGGAUUUGAAGGACAUCGGCCACGCGAUUCAGGCGAAAGCAAGCCAUCUUAUUUCCCAAGUCGAUCGAGCCACUUCACAUUCACUGGUUCCAACUGAACAAUUUCACUACUGCUGUACGGCCAAGGCGGAUGUACGGUACAGCAGUACUAGUCUAGUCUAGUAGUUGUUUUUUUUCUAUUAGUGUAAGAAAGAAAGUACGAAAAUCAGUACGUUAAGGUUACGAAGUCAUUUAGCCGUCUACAAAAGGAAAGGCGUCGGUACGGGUACGGAGUCACCGUCAGCUGUGUUUAUUUGAAUAAUUAGUCUCGAUGUGUUAUAUUUUGAAACUUUAAAUGUAUUAUUUUAGCUUUAUUUAAAUAAUUAAUUUAUUUCAAUUUUAUUCAAUUUUAAAUUUAAUUGGUAGCAAAAUUAUUUUUAUAUUAGAUUUUUUUUAUUUCAUUAGUUGGAGAGAACUAAAAAAUUUUAAUUCGAAAACUAAUGCGCAAAAUGGUGGAUUGUAUAUGGAUUGAGUCAAAUCCGCAUCCGAUCCACAAAUGUAUGGAUUGGAUAUGGAUUGAGUCAAAUCUGUAUCCGAUCCGCAGAUGUAUGGAUUGGAUUUAGAUUGAAUUUUAUCAAUCCGUGGAUUGAAUUGGAUUGAAAAAUUAUAAUCCGCAAAAUCAUGGAUCGGAUAUGGAUUGAUGUCUAAUCCGUAAAAUCCGAUCCGCGAACACCUCUAGUUUAUUCUAAGAUUGCAAUUCACAAUGUUGACACAUAUUUUUUUCUUGAAAAAUAUUGCAAGUUAGUAUAUUUAUCACAAAUCAGAUUUAAUAGAAAACAUUGACAGCUUGAAUUUAAGAUUUUCUUCAAUUCAAUACUAUUUGGAAUGAUAUGAAACUUACAAAACAUAAUUAGACAUGUCAAUGCACCACAAAUAAAAUUUCUAAGUCAUUUGGACAACUCCACAUUAGCUUUUCACAUGAUAAAACUAUAUAAGUCAAAACUACAUAUGAAACUGUAAAGCAGUAGUAGGUGUUUGAAUAUUUAUUAAAUUUAAAAUACUAAAUAUAUUAGAAUGAUACUUUUAAGUGGACAUAUAAGUUAAUGACAUUAAAAUUUGAGGUUAUUCCGAUAUCAUUAUGCAUGUGUUUGAUAGGAUCAAAGAUUAAUGAACAACUCUGUCAAAAGAAGUUACUGCAAAGGCAAGGUUUGAAAAAUCAUUAAAAAUAAAUUAAAAGUUCAAUCAAAGUGAAAAUUUUUCCAGAUUCGAAGUAUGCAUAUAGAAGUGUAGGCAAACAUGAUACAUAGGUAAUUUCUAUUAAAAUUGGACAACAACCAACCAUACUGAGAAAUCCAUUCAAAAUCAAAUUUAAACCUAAUUCAUUCCAAAAUUUCCAGAACUAAAAUGUUUGCAUUUAAAUUUAGUUUAGUCAAACUUUCAAAUCAAUUAAAAGUCAUUUAGUCAAGUCCUGAAACAACCAAGUUCACAACAAUAGUCUAUCAGUCCUCAAAUUUUCAGCAUAAUUUCAUAAACUAUUAAUAAACUUUUCACCUUAAAAUCAACUAUGCAGCAACUCGAGUAUCAUCAAUCCCCAUGUUAAAAGUAAAAUUAGGCAAAAAAGCAAACAAUAACCUUGCUUUUCACUAUUAAAUAUCCAAAAGUAUAAACUUAAGCACUUGAAGCCACAUAUACAUAACUAAAUGAUGAGGUGAUUCACAAAAUAAAAUCCCAAAUUGACCAAGUUCAUUACCAUAACCUCAGUGAUUUAUAAAUAUAUAAACUGCCCAAAAAAGAAAAAGGUUUCACUAAUCUAAGUGAGGAUGGGAUUGUUAUUACACACCUCUAGACUAAAUUAACAAAAUCAUUCACUUAAACACUAAGUUAACAAAAUCAUUCACUUUAAAAAGCAACAAAACCCUAGAUUUCCAAACAAAUACAAAGUCUCAAUCAUAUUCGGUAAUCACAUUAAUCAAUUAACCACAUAAACACUUAAAAAAUAUGAAUAGAGAGCAAGAUAAAGAACUACCACGAAGCUGAUUCAAUUUUUAAACCCCUGACUUUGCCCAAAUAAUUUUACACUUUCCUCACGAUGACUUCUAAGUUUUGACACCAUAAAGACAACGUCUCUUUGCACAGCUAACUAAUGAGCUUUGAACGAUUGAUGAUGGAGGUUUUGCAAUAAGUUUUGGGUUGUUACCUAGAAAGAGAAAGAGAGAGAGUGAUGGACUUAUAGGUCGUGAUGGAGAAUUGAGAUUUUUACUUCAGAAAAUUUUAGGUUUUGGGCUUUCAUAUACACCAUUAAAUAAAAUAUAUAAUAUAUAAUAAACCCAUGAUUGUCGAUUGCCAUUAUUCUUUUAAUUAACAAAUUGCAUUCAACCUAAAUCCAUAAUCACCAAUUGUAAUCAUUCUUUCAAUUAAUAAAUUGAAUUCCACCUAUAACACAAUAGCCUUUUAUUUAUUUUGUUAAAUAUUAAAUUAGAUUAUAAGCAACAAAAACCCUAGAUGGCUAGGUUUCUAAACAAGUGCAAGCUCCCAAUCGCACUCAAUAAACAUUAACCAAUUAAUAGAUAAACUCUGAAACAAUGAGAAUAGAGAAUGAGAUAAAGAGUUACCGCAACACUUAUUCGGACUUUCAAACCUUUUCUUUGCCCAAAUUCUUCACAACACUUUUUGGGUUCUUUUAAGGGAUAUUUUACGGAGGCGGCUUUCAAGGUAGAUCAUUAUUAGAGAGAGAAAGAGACAUAGAGAGAGAGGGAGGGAGAGAAAAGGAAGAGAGCUUUGGCGACCAUGGUAUAGAUUUUUGACUUAACAAAAAUUUUUAGAUCUUAGGUUUCACAUAAACCAUCCAUUAAAAAUGACAUAGUGUCAAUGGUCACUAGGUAAUUUAUUUUAAGUUUUAAUAUUUAUUUACUUAUUAAUUUAUACAUUUAAAAUGUAAUUCGUAGCCUAGUGGUUUAGCAUUUAAAAUUAAAAAGUUAUUUUCGGUUUGAUUAUUACCUUAGUGUAACGGAUCUCUGAUGUUUAAUUUACUGACACCAUAGUAUUAGUAAUUUGUAAAUCUUAUUUGUUAAAUACGGAAAAUGGCCCAAAUACAUAUAACUACUGAUACUUUUUAAUAAAGUGUCACAAAAGACCAUUUUUCUACUAGUUACACUGAUAUUUGAAUCACCAUAUUGAGAAGGGCAAUUCUAAGUUUUUAUGAUCCUCUCGAACAACAAGAUGGUAAAAACAAUUCUUGUAAUGGGUUACGAUUUUUAGAUGAGGGGGAAAAUAACACUAAUUUGUCCUCAGGUCAUUUGUGCUCCAUAUAACCAAGAAGUUUUGAAGAAGUACCAUUGAAAUCAACUUGGCUUCAUCGUCGUGUUUCUUAUCAAGUGAUGAGAACUAAACACUUAAUGAUUAUGUCAAUCGUGCUACAUUACGGAGGACUUGAUGUUUACCAAAAAAAAAAAUGAUAACUGAUAAAUGCAAACUUCAUUGACAGGAAAUAAUUGUAGAUUGUUUCUCAGAAGUACAUUAUUUUUUACUGCAUUUCUUGCCAAUGGCUUUCAUCAAACACAGAGUAACCAUUAGAGUAUUAAAUCCUGUCAUUCUCUGUGAAGGUUCAAUUUCUUGCACUAAAAGGCUAUGAUCACUUCCUUCUAAAAUGACUCAAUUGCUUUAGCAUUAUAGUUUACAUAAAUUACGGUGGCAUUUUUUUUUAUCUGAAAUUUAAAUACACCUGAAUUAGUCUGAAUUCUAAAUAGAGUUCAACGUUUGAUUUUGAAUGAUUUUUUUGUUUGAAUAGCUAAAAAAAAAAGUAUGUUGUUUUAACUCAAAAAUAUAAAAGCUAGUAUUUUUACAUUUGUACCCCUACAAAUUAUAAAUGUUAAACAAAUAAUAAACAUCUCAAAGAACAUAAAUAAAAUAAUAUAUUAUCAUAGUGUAAAUUUUGUUCAAUUGAAUAGAUACUUUUAAUAUUCUAAAUUAUUAUAUGUUAAUCGAUUUUAUUGUGAUUUACAAUGUUUCUAUUAGAAAAAUAUUCAUAAAAAAUGAUGAAGAUUAAUAAUGCUAAUUUAAAGAAAAUAAAAAGAUAAAAAUAAUCUACCACUGUAUUAUCACAAGUUAUGGAGAUUGGUAACAACGUUAAUUAUUAAAUUUUAUUCAGGUAAGGUUGAAAAUUAAUUAAUUAGAUAGAAAUAUUUUAGAAAUAUCUUUUAAUGAUAUCAUUUAGACAGUUUAAAUUAAGUAAAGAGUUUAAAAAAUUAGCUUAAUAACUUACUGUGUGAAAAUUUUCAAUUAAUAACUUAAUAACUUAAGUGAUUAAACUUAAGUACAAAAAAAAAAGAACAAGAAGAAGAAGAAGAACGAAAAAACAGCCCCUACAUAUUGUAAAUUACAAAUUUUAAGAUUUGAAUUAAUGCAAUAACCAUUUUAUGUACCUACCGGAUAAAUAUAAUACUUUUAGUUGACUUCAUAAUCACGUACCCUAUUUUUUGGGUUCGAGAGUCAACCUUUUAACCUUAGCCUAUGAUUGAGGUUUGUUUUUUUUUUUUAAUCACCUCUUCCAGAAUAGCAAUAAAUUAAUGCUAAUUAUGUGAUAAGAGAGUGAAACAAUUUUUAAAGACCAAACACAAAUCCGACUCGUUUUUAGUGGAUUUUAAUUAAUGGAUAGAUAUGUCGACGACUUGAUUUGAUAAGUUUAGAUCCCGCAACUGUUCUUAUAAUGCAUUUUCGCAUUGUGCAAAUGAGUAGUAUGAACUUUUGUUAGGCCUACCAUCGCAAUUAGCCAAAAAGAUUAUUAAAAUUAUUUUGAUUAGGGUUAAUUGUGAUUUAUCAGCUAAUAAAUUAAUUAUCUUCAAAAUGCUCCCAAACUAUUAUGUCUCUACUUAUUCCAAUAAAUACAUUAUGAAAGAAAAAAAAAUUCCAUCAUAGUGCCCCCAUUUGUCGUUAUCCUUUGAACUGUAAUUAGUGAUAAGUUGAGGUUUACAAUUAUUUAGGGGUCAGUAUUUUGAAGAUAACAAAUAUUUAGAGAAUGAACUGAAAUUAACCCUUUUGAAUAUGGUGAUAUUAUUAUAUUCCUAUAAGACACGGAUGCACACACCAACUCAACCAAUAAGUAAUUAGAAGUUCUUAACUAUGACUACUGAGUAUAAAAACAACCACAAACUCUUCUGUAUUUUUAAAAUGAUUUGCCCCAAACAUGAAGGGUAAGUUUGGUUAGUUUUAUCUAAUAUGAUAAUUAAAUAAAAUAAUCUAUAAUGGUCCUGCAAAAUAUUUGAUAGAGUCUCCCCUAUAUUUUUAUUUAUUUAUUUCCAACAUGAAAAUUUGUAAAAUAGGCACUUCCAAAAUAAUUCAAUAUUCAACUAACUUCAUUGAUCAAUCUCCUCAAACAUAAUCAUGCAUCACUUUACAUAAUAUGCUUAAAUAGUCUCAUCCAAAUAUCACCUACUAUUUCCAAUAGUAUCAGAAUAGUAUAGUGUGUCUAACGCCAAUACACAUCAAAUGUCCAUAAUAAUAAUAUCAUAAUUAUACAAUAAAAAAUGAGGUGAUCAAAAUGCUCUAAUAGUAUAAUUACCAACCCUUACAAAAAUCACAUGGUUAAAACUUAAAAUAACUAUAGUCGCUAGCUCAAAUAGUGUACAUACAGUCUCCUCAAAUAGUGUACCUGCAGUCUCCUGGGGCGCCUCGGGNNNNNNNNNNNNNNNNNNNNNNNNNNNGGGGGGGGGGGGGAGUGCGAGAUACAGUAAAAUAGGCGAGUAUAAAAUUCAGUGAGUAGAUGACAUGUUUUGAAAAUAAAAUUAUUUUAAAAAUAAAUAUGUUACUACAAUAUGCAAGUUUCACCAAACUGUGUCAAAACGAUAAGUAAAAAUAAUAAUAAUAAUAAUAAAAGGUAAUAUAUGAUGUUGUACAAAAUAAUGAUGAAAAUCAUUUCAAGAGAACAUAUACACAUGAUUUUAAAAUUGUCAUUAAAUAAAUAUUUAGGGGAAUAAAAUCGUUAUACUCAGAUCUCAUACGGGGCGAUGUAAUAACAUACUAGAAAUGUAGUGUCAUGCCUGGAGCUAUAAUGGGCAGACCAAUGACAUGUCAGCUCAUAUAUCUCAUAAUAUCUUAUCAUACCUAGCCAUAAACAAAACUUUUCUUUAUUACAUCAUAAUAAUUUACAAAGAGUGUAUCCUAUUAUAUAAUAUAAAAAAGAUUUGGCAAAAAAGGAGGUUCCGAAUCUUUCAGAGAAGGAAUCUCAUAAUCAUACAAUCACAUCUCGAACUAGUGGGCUACUAAUAAAGAAAAAUAAUUACACUAAAAUAAUCGAUUUCGAUACUGACCCUCAAGCUAGAUCAUUUAUGUUAAUCAUAUUCAGCUUGCUAAUGAAAUCAUUGAAACUAUACCCUGAAAAUCUUUUGAUGAAGAUGUCUCCAUUUUGAUGUGUAGUAGGAACGCAAGCAGGGGUGAAGCUAUCAAGAAGGCUAACCCGGGCUGUAGCCCGGGUUAGUUUCUUGAAAAAAAAAAAAUUAAUUAUAAAUUUAUUCUUUUUAAAAAACUUAUAAUAAAAUAUAAAAAUACAAAUUUCAAUUGUUUCUCCUCUUCCUUCUCGGGUUUUCUCUCUGAAAACUUGGAAUAGAAGUUGGGUAGGGUCUUCAUGAUGCUUGAUCUCUGGUUUAAAAUACUAUUCAUAGCUCUCUAGAUUUUUUUGUUUUUUACUCUUUCUUUCUUUACUCAAAAUCUUUUAAAGUAGAUUUGGAGAUUUGUUUAAGGAGCAUUUAUAACUGGUUGGUGAUAUUCUUUAAUUGUUUGUGUCCAUCAGAUUGUCCUUUAAAGGCAUUAUGGACACAAAAGAGCAAAUCCGCAAGUGUAGAGCCAUAACUCUAACAGGGGAUAGAGAAGGCAAUGUUUCUUUCAAAAGCAAUAUGAAUGCAAAGGGUGAACAAAUUGUAGCAGGGUGUCUAGUUGGUAAAGUAUUGACAAAUAGAACAAUGAACAAGGAGGGGAUUAAGAGCGGAGCCUUUGGGAGCCACAGUGUUUUUGUUCAGGUUUGGGACUGAAGCUGACAAAAGGAAAAUGAUAGCCGGAGGGCCAUGGCAUCAUGAGCAAGCCCUUGUUUUGCUCAUAGAAACGAUUAGUAUUGGAGAUGUAUCGCAACAGACUUUCACCUAUGUGUCAUUUUGGGGACAACUCAAAAAUGUGCCCAUUAUGUGCGUGGAAAAGGAAAUAAUAACGGAGAUGGGUGAAGCCAUUGGGAGAGUAAAAGAAGUUGAAACAAAUGAAAAUUGAGAUUGUAUAGGGCAGAUUAUCAGGCUCAGAGUAUCGGUUGAUAUCACUAUACCUCUAAUAAAGAUCUUGUACAUAUAGAAGAAAGAUAAGCAAGUAGAGAAAAUUCCAAUAACAGUCCAAUAUGAAAGAUUGCCUGACUUUUGUUACUGCUGUGGUUGUUUUGGACACCGAUACAAAAAAUGUGCAGUAUAUAGAAAUCAAGCAAAGGAGGAUUUACUUUACGGCUCAUGGGUUAAGGCUCAAACCACAGUUGAAAAGUGGAAACAGAGCAGAGUUAGGGGAAAAUGGAAUACAACACUAGAAGACUCAAACAAUGGAUCAUAAACACAACCUAAAAAUCCAAAUAGCAAAGAUUUGCAGACUCAAAAUCCUACAGGCAAACCGAAUUUGGAUAUAGGGCAGACCUAGAACCAGAACCCUUAGAGACGGGGGAGCAUUUAGUGCAGGGGGAAGCAAGCUUGGGACUGGUGAACAAUAAUAACCAAAAGCAAAGAGUGCCAGCUGGUAAAAUCAACAUCAGUAGGGUGCAGAUACUACAAAUGGGGAAGCUAAAUUAAGAAGAGAAAGGGCAGGAUCUUCAAAACUUGAAGAUCAAAAAGAGGGGGGGGNNNNNNNNNNNNNNNNNNNNNNNNNNNNNNNNNNNNNNNNNNNNNNNNNNNNNNNNNNNNNNNNNNNNNNNNNNNNNNNNNNNNNNNNNNNNNNNNNNNNNNNNNNNNNNNNNNNNNNNNNNNNNNNNNNNNNNNNNNNNNNNNNNNNNNNNNNNNNNNNNNNNNNNNNNNNNNNNNNNNNNNNNNNNNNNNNNNNNNNNNNNNNNNNNNNNNNNNNNNNNNNNNNNNNNNNNNNNNNNNNNNNGGGGGGGGGGGGGGGGGAUGGUAGCUUCUCCCUCAAUUCAAACAGCAGCUGAAAUAUAAGAAGUAGCUAAUGAGCCAGAUGUUUCUGUAGCAAAGCCCAAAUGGAGAAAAUGAAAAAUACUAGUGAAGAGAGCUUUGGAGAGAAAAGAGCUAAAUUAAUUAAUGGGCCUAUUACAAUAACUUACAAGUCAUGCAAAUUUGGCAAGCCUAAAGGCCAAAAGAAAUAAAUAAGAGGCCCAAUGGAAACUAUAUCUCUUGUUUCACCAAGAGUAAAACAAAAGCUGAGAUUAGAGAUAGAUGAAAAGCAAAUUAAUGGAGACUUGGAAAUAGUGAUGGGAGAUAUUGAGAAAAGAGCGACGGAGGCUAGUUGCCAACCUCAUUGACAACUAUGAAUUUCAUCAACUGAAACAUUUAGAGAUUGAGAUUGGGGAAUGACGAAGCAUUCUGAGAAGUCCAAAAAAUUCUCCAAAUGCAUAGACCUCAGUUUAUUUAUUUAUUUAUUUUGGUGAAACAAAACUAAUGUCUACGUAAAUGUAGGAGAAAAGUAGAUAAUUAAGAUUAAAAAAUUGCUUUGAAGUUAGUAAAAUAGGAGAAGGAGGUGCUUUGGUAAUGUUAUAGAACUCAGAGUUAAGGUUGAUGUAAAGUCUUUUAGUAAACAAUAUACUGAAAAUGGGAGUUAUUGGAGAUUGUAUAUGGUCAUCCAAAGCAAGUCAAAAGCAUGACACAUGAACUCUCCUGAAAAGGUUAACUGGCUAAUCUUGAUCGCCUUUUAUUUGUUCUGGGGAUUUUAAUGAAAUUCUAAUGCCUUUUGAGAAGAUAAAAGGGAAUGACAAAGAUGUUAAUAGGAUGCAUGACUUUAGAUAAGUAAUUAGAGAAUGUGAUAUGGUAGAUUUAGGGAGCAAAGGACAUCAUAUUAUAUGGUUUAACAAAGGUUAUUGCCUUUCUUUGAUUGAAGAAAGAUUGGAUCAUAUUAUACGGUUUAAGUUUGGGGGUGUGAUAAUUCUAUGAAAUGAGAGUUAUUACGGAAAUUCUAGAUUUAAAUCAAGACCACUUAGAGAGUGAAUGAUGUGUUUUUAUUAUAUUUUGCAUAAACAACCAUUUUAGUUAAGUCUUAAUAAGUUUUGCUUGAUUUAAAGUAAUUUGUGCUCAAAACAUGUGCAUAAUUGUAGGUUUUCAGAAGUUCAUAAUUCAUGAAGGGAUGCUGAGAUAUUAGGCUAGCAAGAAGAAGAAAGAAUAUGGCCACAAAAGAAGUGAAACACAACUGGGAACAGUGCAGUGUUAUAGCCAUUGCUGGAGCGACCAUUGCUGUAGCAAUCCUGGAACACCGAGGGAGAAAACUUAGCGUAGGUUAGCUGUAGAAUUGCGAUAUGCGGUUUCUUAAUUUGACUCAUGUAGGCUCGAGGCUUUUGUUUACCCUAGUUUUCAGUUAUAAAAGGAGACGCGCAUCACAUAAAACGGCGGCAAGGAAUUAUCUUUGGAAAAAUUGGGAAAAAGAAGAAGGAGAUCAGAACUCAAGGGAACCAAUGCCGCAUCAGUGAAGAAUCCAGCAGAGUUAUUUGGAUUCACUAUCCAUCGUUCUUCACUCUUUGAUUAAACCAAUGUAUUUCAUGACUAAUAUGUUGCUGUUUGUUUUUUUCUUUCAGAAUAUGAACUAAACUUGGUUGUAGUUGAGUGACAAACGAUCUAAUGGGUUCUUGAUUGUUCUUAUGAGUUGCUAUAUCAUUGAUGUAGCAUUUUACUCUAGUAGCUAUUAUUAUAAUUGUUAUUUCGGUUGACCACCCAUUUAAUGGUUCAAAUUAAGAUAGAGCCGCAAAAGGGCAUGUCUUAGUGGAUAUUAUUAGAGUAAUACUUGAUCUUAAUUUAAGUUUCCUGGAUUAAGUUUAUCUUGAAUCCCAUAAGGGCCAUACUUAAAGUUAAGAUUUGUGAUAACUUAGACAUAGGUACUCACCUUGUAGGGUGGAGAGAAUGGAUGUUCAUAAUGUCAUGCCAUAGGUAGAAUAACAAUUGGUCAUUACUAAGAUACUUACGGGUAUGAGAAUUCCAAUAUGCGACAGCUGAGGAUGUAAAAUAAAUUUUGCCCAAUACUAUAGAAAUUGAUGUAGCAACUGGUGUUAACUUGAUGAAAUGCAGUCAGCCCAUAAAAAGAGUUUGAUCAUUCAACUAACUUAUUUUCAUUUAAUUCUUCGACACAUUUUUAUUUAAUUUAUUUCAUUACUGCAUUGUUUCAUUUUUAUUCUCUCACAAUUAUCAAUUUCAAUAGUAACCAACUUUACAUUUGUUCCUCUCGGAAUCAAGGUAGAUUGCACUAUUGUGAUUACUGUAGCAUUUCUAGUAACAUCAAUCCCUGUGGAGACGAUCUUAAAUAUUCAUCACUUUAUUACUUGUUGUGUAUACUUGGACAUUAGCAUCAAUAGCAUUAGAAUAUACCCAACAGAGUGGCAAAGGGUAUGAUUUAACUACAAAGAGGUUUGAGGCAGGGUUGCCCUCUCUCGUCUUACUCAUGCAGAAAAAAUCAAAGCAGUUUAUCAACAGUUUAAAGUUUAAUAGAAACUUAUCAAUCACACAUCUCUUCUUUGCAAAUGAUAUCCUUACAUUUACAAAGGUUACAACUAUAGGUACAAAUUUAAAGGCUAUUUUUUAAACUAUUAUGCAGCUACUUCAAGUCAGAUCCUUAAUUAUGAGAAGUCUUCAACAUUUUUUUAGUGGAAACACUUAAGUUAGAUAAAUUGCUACAAUCAAAAUCAUCUGUUAGCUCUAAGUUGUGUCUUGGCAUGAGAAAUAUCUUAAUUUGCCAUCCAUGGUGGGAAGAAAGAAGGUGAGUUUUUUCGAAGGUAUCAAUCUCAGAGUUUUAAAUAAGAUAUCGAGUUAGCAAAGUAAAUUAUUUUCUAGUGGUGGGAGAGAAGUGCUCAUCAAAGUAGUUGUCCAAUAAUAUAUGUUUACACCAUGAGUGUUUUCAAGAUUCUGAUGGGUUUAUAUGAUGACAUUCAAAAGGCAAUAGCAAGAUUCUGGUUGAGUUCAAAAGAAUAUCAAAAAAACAUUCAUUGGGCUAAAUAGGAGAAAGUAUGCAAAUUUAAAGGUAGAAGGGGUAUUAGGAUUUAAGGAAUUGUCUAGCUCUAACCAAGCUCUAGUGGCAAAAUAAGGCUGGAGGCUCAUGAAGUUUCCUAGUUCACUAAUGGCAAAAGGUUUUAUUGGCCCAAUAGUUUAAGAAGUCAAUUUUUUUAAAUGCAAGUUAGUAUGUAAGCCAUCCCUUAUAUGUAAGAGCAUUAUUUCAGGUAGACAAGUGCUUUAUAAUGGUUUGGGAUGAAUAGGUAAUGGAGAACAAGUGUAGAUUUACAAAAGUUUUUGAAUUCCUAGAUCAAUUACUUUAAAUAUGUUGUCUACACUAACACUGCCCUUGAAAGAGACUACAAUAUCAGCUCUGAUUGAUAAGGAACACAAGUGGAAGGGGGACUUGACUUGCUAAAUUUUAUACCUGAAGUUGCAGAUCAGAUUAUAAAGAUUUCACUCCAAUAAUCUUAAGACUUGAUAAGCCUCUUUAUUCUUUUGAUAAAUAUGGUAACUACUUAAUGAAGAGUGGGUACAAACUUGCACAUAGACUAAAGAUGCGAGACUAUCCAAGCCCUUCAAGAUCAAGUAUCACCGAAUGUAAUGCAAUUUGGAGGCUGGAAUUGCCAGAAAAAAUAAAAAUUUUUAUGUAGAGAGCUGUUCAAAACUUCCUUCUAGCAGUUGAGAAUCUAUGGAAAAAGAGAAUCUUACAAUAACCAUGGUAUCAAAGGUGUGGUAGAGAAGGAGAAAAUGUUGCUUAUGCCCACAUAACCUGCAAAGCUUUCAAAAGAUAUGGAAAAUCAUAACUUUUUAAACAAAAAGGCAAUGCCUUGCAAACCAAGACUUAUUGAACGUUCUACAAUAUUUGAUAAAAUGAGACGCAAAUCAGAUCUGUAACUUUUUAUUCCUUUGUUUUGAGCUAAUUGGCAUCAAGAAAUCUUUUUAUCUUUGAAGAGAGAAGGAAGAUUCACAAAUAUCAGUGGCUAUAGUUGAAGCAAUAGUAAAGUCAUAUAAGAAAAUCAAAUCACCCCAAAAAUGAUAUAUCUCAAUAAAUUCCAGCAAACUAGACUUACAAACCUCCUCCGGGAGGCUCUUUUUAAGGUGAAUAUGGAUGCAGCAACAAAGUUGAAAGUGCAUACUGCAGGAUUAUGAUAAGUGAUUAGAGAUUCAGGGAAACUUAAUAACUAUAGCUAUGAAGAAAUCAACAUUCAGAUUGAGACUUGAAACUACAAAAGGGCUGCUUGUGUGCCACUGAUAAAUGAAAUUGAUUGUUAAGAAAUUGUUGAACUUAACAAAUGGAGGAAAUGUAGUCAAACCAAGAUCUCAUGGACCAUUACUGACACAGAAGAGAUGUUAAAAAGACUAAGUCAGGCUAGAAUGUAGCACACUUUAAGGCUAUGUAAUGGCAGUACACAUUAUCUAGCCAAAAUGGCUUUAAACAUUGUAAAACCUAUAAUGUAGGUGGGAACUUCUUUAAUUCAUAUGAUAUAUUUGUUGUUGUUGUUCUUCUUCUUAAAAAAAAAAAGAUUACCUUAACCUUAUGUCAUUCAAAUAGUGAAAAUUUAUGACUCCAAAUGCAUAUUGCAAAUUUGCCUAUAAUUGCCUUUCUAUCUAAUCAAGGAUUUCUAUAAACUAAUUCACCAAUAAAUCACCCACUGUUUUAACAAACCAUCAUAUAAAAAAAAUAACCAUGGAUAUUGUCUUUCAAGCUCCACAUUUAACAAACUAAAUAUUAAUCAUACUUUUAAUAAGACCCAUCAAUAUCCUAUGUUGGUGUUUAAUGUUAAUAAAAUCCCACUUAAUCCCAUAUCAUUAGGCUAUUUUCUUGUCCAAUGUGACUAAUUAAAAUCAUUAAUAAAGAUUUUGCUGAAAAUUUGGCAGAGUCUCCCCUGCAUUUUGACAUUUUCAACUUGUGAAUUUGAAAAACAAGCACUCCAAAAUAAUCCAAUAUUCAACCAACUUUAUUGGUCAACCUCAACCUCCUCAAUUAUAAUACAAAACAUUAUAGUAAAUAAAACACUUUAAUGAUCUAAUCCAAAUAUUACCCAACAUCUCCAAAGUAUUAAAAGAGUAAUGCCAACAUACUUUAAACAUCCAUAAUCAUUAAAUCAUAGAAUAAUUAUACAAUCCAAAAUGAGAUGUUCAAAAUACUCAAAUAAUAUCAUCCAUGUCUCUUAGCACCAUCAUGUACAGUCACUAUGUUGACUAAUAUACUUGCAAUCUCUUGUGAGAGAAAAAAUAUAAUAAAAUGGGGUAAGUAUAAAACUUAGUGAGUAUAAAACAGUUUUCAAAAUAAAAUUUUCUUUAAAAUUACUAUGUUAUUGCAAUAUACAUACAAUUUUCGUGGACUUAUAUAUAAGACAACAUAAGUAAAAUAUUUAGAUUUUAAAUCAAUUAACUAGCUUUUAGGAAAAGAACACACAAUGUCGUACAUAAUAAUCAUGAAAAUCAUCUUAAGGGGAGAAAACACACACAUGAUUUAAAACUGUCACUAAGCAAGUACCACGAAAAUAACUUUGUCAUACUUAGAUCUCAUAUGAGUGGUGCAAUGAUUUAUUAAAAGACAAUGUCAUGUCCGAAGCUCAACAGGUAGACCAAUAACAUAGCAUCUCAUAUAUUUAAUCAUACUGCAUGAACAAAAUAGCCUCAAAGGGCAAAAGUACACAAGCACAUGGCCCGAUGUCUUGUGUGCGCUCAAAUGAGCCCUAAAGGCCUCUAUGUCAAUUGUACCUCUGUAUUGUAUCUCUAUAAUUGUAUCUCUAUAACUAUAUCUUUAUACUCAUCCAUGUGUCUAAAAGGGAUGGGUACAAUUUAAUAAUUUUGAAAACAAACUUUACACACAUGUACAUAAAGCAUUUUAAACAUAUUUGAAGUCUAAAUUCCUUUUCACUAAACAUAUUUUAAUAUUAAAAAAAAUCAAUGAAUCAUAUCCUUUAAAAAACGUAUUAAUUUGCAAAUAAAAACUAUUUUGAGAAAACUUGAAGCAUUAAAGAUUUCUUUGCAAAAAUGAUUUACUUUUCUAAUAUUAAAAUAGUAAAAGAAAAAUAUAAAAUAUAAGUUUAAUAUAUUCAACUCAAAAUGACCAUACUCAAACUUGGUUAAUCUCAAUAUCUUGGCAUUGUUUCACGGCCAUGGCUCUUUUAAAUCAAAGGAAACAUAAGCAUCCUCUAAAUUAAUUAAACUAAUUCUCAACAAAUUCCUUAACCAAAACCCUUAUAAAAACUUCAUGGCCUAAUUUGAUAUAACUUUUUACCCAUUUAUAAGCCAUUAAAUGUUAUUUUGAAAUCAUAUCUGACAAUAGUUCUUUUGAAAGCUACCAUGUUAGCACAAACCAGCACCCUUACACUUUGUAAAUUUAUCUUUCCAAUUCACAAUCUAAAGCCUUUAAAGUAGUUUAAACUUUAAAACACAAGCUCUUCUUUCACGAGAGCUCUCAUGCGAAUAGAGCUUCGUGAAUGGAAGCAUUCUUAGGGGUUGCAGGACCCAUAUGGUCACUCCGAGAGUGAGUGGUUUAGUUCUUACCAGUAGGCUCUUUAGCUAGAGCUCUGGAAGGAAGGCAGAGAAGGAGUAUGAUAGGUGAUAAGGGGUAUUAAUAUCUCAGUGUUAGGUUAGUCAGGUGUUUAAAGUUUGCUCAACCUCUUAGCAUUAAUAUCCAUGGAUACAAAAGAGUUAAUUCGCAAAUGCAGAGCAAUCACAAUACGAGAGGAAGACAGAACCCAAAUGUCAGUAAAAGUAAAUAUGAAAGCAAAAAGAAGGGAAGUUUUGGCAGGAUGCCUGGUGGGCAAAAUUCUGCUGUCUAGAAGUGUCAACAAAGAAGGUCUCAAAAGUGCUUUGCAACAGGCUUGGCGAACACUCAAAGAAGUAAAAAUUGAGAGCUUGGGAAGCAAUAUUUUCAUGUUUAAGUUUGUAGUUGAGGCAGACAAAAGAAGAGUAAUCAUGGGUGGCCCGUGGCACUUUGACAGAGCUCUGAUAGUUCUUACCGAGCCAAGAAGAAUUGGGGAGAUCUCCAAGCAAUCAUUUGUUUAUGUUUCCUUUUGGGUGCAGAUCCGCAAUGUUCCAAUUGCGUGUAUGGAGAAGGAUUUUCUUUAUGAGCUAGGAGGAAAGAUUGGGGAAGUAGAAGAGGUAGAGACUAACGAAAAUGGAGAUUGUAUUGGGGAACUUGCUAGAAUAAGGAUAACUAUCAACAUAACACAACCAUUGAAGAAAGUAUUAUUUCUCAAACAAGAAGGUGAAACAGAUAUACCAAUGCCAGCGGUGUAUGAACGAUUGCCCGAUUUUUGUUUCUGCUGUGGUAUCAUUGGGCACCAAUACAAAGAAUGCUCUAAGUACCAGGGGCAACCAAAAGAAGACUUUCCCUUUGGGGUGUGGAUGAAAGCUAUCACAAUUGGAGGACGCCUAAAGAAAUACCGCAACAAAGAGAGAUGGCAAAACGAAGGAAAUAGAGCUGCGAAAUUGGCAAGCUCAGAGCAGUAUGAACAGUCUCAACAAAAUCAGCAAGAACAGAUGAACCCGAACGAUAAAAACGGGUUAGAACCCGAUAUGGAGGAAAUGAGUCAAACUAGAGAGCAUGACAGCAACAUCGAGGUGCAACGGGUAGUUGAGAAGCAUUUAAUGGAGGGAGGGACAGAACUGAUGGCUAAGAAGCAGGUAGACGGCAAAAUGGAAAGGGUGGUUAUUGACAAUGUAACAGCACCUAGAGAACUGAGAAUUCAAGCGGGAGUUGAAGUAUCAAAAGUGAGGGAAAAUUCGAAAACAGCUGGGGUUGAGAUGUUUAAGGAGAUAAUGGGCCCGAAAGCUAUCCUUAAUAGCCCAACCAGAUUAAAUUAUGAGGAAACAGAGGAGGAAAGAAUAAGAGAUGGCCUGGGAGUUUCUCAAAGUCAAGCUAACCGACAGAAAUGGAAAAGGCAAACUCGAGCCUUUAAGAGUGAAGGAGGAAUCAAGUUGGGAUCAGGUGCUCAAAAAAGACCAAACAAUGAGGCAAUAGGGCUAAGCCCGAAGCAAAAGAAAUGUAGAGGUGCUAGCCCCUCUCCAGCUAAAACAAAGAAACACACUACAGCAGCAGCAAUAACUAAACAGCUCUGGGAGCCACUGGAAAUGGAGGAGAUGGAGCUCACAGCUACAAUCACAGAAGAGAGAUCGGCGGAGGCUGGUAGCCAGCCCCGCCGGAAGCCAUGAUAGUGCUCAGUUGGAACAUUCGGGGUUUUGGGGAAUCCCCGAAUGUUUCUAGCUCUCAGGAAAAUUCUCCAAAUGCACGGUCCUCACCUUGUGUUUUUAUGUGAAACGAAGUUGAUGACCUCGCAAAUGAAUGGGGUGUGCAAUAAGCUUAAUUAUGAAAAUUAUUUUGCUGUAAGUAGUAUUGGGAGAGGAGGUGGCCUAGCAAUGCUUUGGAACUCAGACACGAAUGUGCAAGUCCAAUCUUUCAGCAAGCAUCAUAUCGAUGUUGAAAUCCAGAUGGACAAUGGUAGACAAGUUCGAUGCACAGGGGUCUAUGGUCACCCAGAAACGAGACAAAAACGGCACACUUGGACUUUACUGAGGCGCCUUACAAAUUUAUCAACUAGUCCCUGGCUUUGCUUCGGAGAUUUUAACAAAAUCCUUCAUCCAUGUGAAAAGAGUGGAGGAAACAAGAGACAUCCAAAUUUAAUUCAUGAUUUCAGAGAGGCCUUGAGGGAUUGUGACCUUCUGGACGUGGGAUUCGAGGGGUACCCUUUUACUUGGAGCAAUGGCAGAUAUGGUCCUGGCUUUGUCAAAGAAAGGCCUGACAGAUUUAUGAGUCACAAUACUUAGAGGGACAUAUUUUCGGAUUGUGCAGCCACCAACAUUGACACAUGGACCUCAGAUCAUUGUCCUGUAUUGAUGAAGGUUCAAGAACGGGGCAACGGGAUAACAAAUAACAAAAGUCAGGCUUCUCGGAGCUUCUACGAAGAUAUGUGGAGCCCUUAUGAUGCGUGUAAAGAGAUUAUUGAGGAGGAAUUGAGCUGGCAAGGGAGCGGGAAUAGUGAGAACCCUGUGCACCUAUUUCAAAAAGUUUCCAAGAAUUCCUUGGCCAGGCUGCUGCAAUGGAGUAAAGAAGAGUUCAAAGGUAGACAAAAGAAGUUGGAAAAGCUAAUGAAGCAGCUUCAAAGCCUCAAGCAGAGAAGAGUGCAGUAUGAGAAUGGGGAUUCGAUUAAAGGGGUGGAAAGGAAAAUCCAAAAUAUGCUAGCUGAUGAUGAAAUAUAUUGGAAACAACGCUCAAGGGCUGACUGGCUGAAGGAAGGGGACAGAAACACAAAAUGUUUACUAUAAGGCUUCAUCUAGAAAGAAGAAGAAUCGGAUUUGGGGAAUUGAAAGUGAAGCGGGAAGGUGGUUGGAUAAAGCUGAGGAAGUUGAGUAUGAAUUCUGUAAAUAUUUCUCCAAUUUGUUCACUUCAUCCAAGCCGAACCAAGCUCAAACAACAGCUGCUCUUUCUGGAGUUUCUCGGAGAGUUACUAGUGAGAUGAAUAGAAAUCUAGAGAUGCUGUUUAUAGCUGACGAAGUAAAGGAAGCUCUUUUUCAAAUGUGCCCGACCAAGGCUCCUGGUCCCGAUGGCUUGCCGGCAGUGUUUUAUCAAAAGCACUGGCACUUGGUUAAACAAGGGGUUAUCUCUACAUGUCUUCACAUCUUCAAUAAGCAAGGUACCUUAGCCCCUCUCAACCACACUUACAUUGCUUUAAUUCCGAAGAAAGAGAAACCUAGGAAAGUUACCGACUUUAGGCCUAUUAGUCUAUGCAAUGUCAUUUAUCGGAUUGUUGCUAAAGCCAUAGCUAAUAGACUUAAGCAUGUUAUGCACAAAAUUAUCUCCCCAAUGCAAAAUGCUUUCAUUCCCGAUCGGUUGAUUACUGACAAUAUCAUUAUAGGCUAUGAGUGCCUCCAUAAGAUAAGGCAUUGUAAAGGGAGAAAAAAUGGAUUAGUAGCCCUGAAGCUUGAUAUCAGUAAAGCUUACGACAGGCUAGAAUGGAAGUUCUUAGAGCACACAAUGGAGUCUCUAGGAUUCUCAAGGGGUUGGAUCAACCUAAUUAUGCGAUGUGUUAGCUCCGUUUCAUUUUCAGUUGUUAUAAAUGGGGCUGUGAGCAGGGUAAUUCAACCUCAACGAGGUUUACGCCAAGGUUGCCCACUCUCCCCGUACUUGUUCAUCAUGUGUAUGGAGGCCUUUUCUUCCCUACUACUUCAAGCGGAGCAGCAAGGGCUCAUCCAUGGUCUGUCAUUCGGGAAGGACUUAAGGAUCUCUCACCUCUUGUUUGCGGAUGAUAGUCUGGUCUUCACGAGAGCGUCGGUUGCUGAUUGUCAAAACUUGAAAAGGAUCUUUGACUGCUACUCGACAGCCUCUAGUCAGCUGUUCAACUUCGAGAAAUCAUCAAUGUUUCUCAGCGGUAACAUCCAGGAUGGGCAAGCUUCAUCAAUUAAGGAUAUUUUUCAGCUCAACAUUGUCUCAAGGCAUGAAAGAUACUUAGGAUUGCCUUCCAUGAUUGGAAGGAAGAGAAGUAAUUUUUUUAAUGACAUCAAGCUGAAGAUUUACAAUAAGGUAUCGAGUUGCCAACAUAAAUUCUUCUCCUGUGGGGGUACAGAGGUUUUGAUUAAGGCUGCAGCUCUGGCCAUUCCUACAUACGCAAUGAGCAUUUUUAAGAUUCCCUUGGGCAUUUGUGAUGAUAUCCAGAGAGUAAUAGCAAACUUUUGGUGGGGCUAAAAAAAGGACAAGAAGAAUAUUCAUUGGUCAAGAUGGGAUAAGCUAAGUCAGUCUAAGUGCAGAGGAGGUAUGGGAUUCAGGGACUUUUCGAGCUUCAAUCAGGCGUUAUUAGCAAAGCAAGGCUAGAAUCUUACAAGCUCGAUACUUCCAGAACAAGGACUUUUUGAGUGCAGGGCUCGGCUCCAAGCCAUCUUUUAUAUGGAGAAGCAUUUUGUGGGGUCGGCAAGUUAUUUCCAAGGGUUCAAGAUGGAGGGUGGGAAAUGGUCAAAGCAUUAUGAUCCAUAAGUCAAAUUGGUUACCCAGGCCCUCUACCUUUAAACCAAUUGCCAGACCAAAUUUACCAGCUGAUGCAGUAGUUGUUGAGUUAAUCGAUGUUGAGCAUUGCUGGAAUAAGAGACUGAUUUACAGUGUUUUUGACAAAAUGGAUGCGGCAACUAUUGUUAGAAUCCCUCUCCUUAGAAGACCAAUGAGGGAUGAAGUUAUUUGGCAUUAUAAUAAGAGAGGUCAAUUCUCAGUCAAGAGUGGGUAUCGGGUUGCUUUGAGCCUGAAACUUCCAGCCACUCCAUCAAGUUCAGAAAAUCCCAAUAGUCAAUGGAAGUUUAUCUGGUUGCUUACUCUGCCUGAGAAGAUAAGAAUUUUUGUGUGGAGGGCUGUUAAGAACAUUCUUCCAUCAGCUGAAAAUCUGUGGAAGAGGAAGAUUAUUCAGGAACCCUUGUGUCAGCUCUACAAGAAUGGAAUGGAGACUAUUUUUCAUGCUCUAGUUGGCUACAAAGCUGCUAAGAAAAUCUGGAAAACGACCAGAUUUGCAGAGGAUUUGAAAGGUAGCAGUGAUCAAGAUAUUCUGAGUUUUCUAUUGGCUUUAAAUUCAAAGAGAAGCAAAGCUGAAAUGGAGCAUCUGGUGGGGAUCCUCUGGAUGAUAUGGAAUGCAAAGAAUAGCUGGCUCUUUAAAGGAAAAAAAGAUACUCCUUAAAUCCUUGUUUCCAAGGCUGAAGCUGUGAUAGAAGCUUAUCAAAGAACCCAAAAACCAGCAGCUGCUCAUAUUGGCAAUCAGAGAAGCUUGAUCCGCAAGGCUUGGAAUCCUCCCCAAAGAGGGUACGUCAAAGUUAACGUGGAUGCUGCUACCAACUCAGAAAAGCAGCUUUCAGGCCUUGGGGCUGUAAUUCGAGAUGAGAAUGGGAAUGUGAUUGCAGCUGCUAUUAAGGUAUCAAGAUUCUAUGGGGAAGCUGCUUAUGCAGAAGCAGAAGCAGAAGCCAUUGAUUGGGGCCUGCAAAUUGCUGAUCGAGCAAGCUUAAGUUCGCUGGUGGUGGAAUCAGAUGCUCAAGAAGUUGUUCAGUUGGUAAACAACAACCAGGGCUGCAAAUCCGAGAUAUAUUGGAUUAUUUCAGAGGUGCAAAGUAUGCUGGAAAAUUUUAACUCUAUAAGUGUUCAAUAUACUCAUAGAUCAUGUAAUGUUUUAGCCCACUCUCUAGCAAAACUAGCUUUAGAGACUUGAAACUAUUGUGUGGAUGGGUUCAUUCCCCCCUCAUUUGCUGUACUUAUUUUCUUCUGUGAAAUGAAAGCAUUUUCCUUUAAAAAAAAAAAAAGAAAGCUACCAUAUUAGCUAGCUAAUCACCAAUCAAUGUCAAUCCUCAAUAAUUUACAUAUCCCCCAAUUUCAUGAACCUUAUACAUAUCCAAUUAUAACCACUUUAAUUUAUUUUCCCUAUAAGAACUUAAUUUUAUAUUUUGAGAAAAUUCUACUCCAAGAUUCAGAUAUCAAAAUACCUAAUCCUUAAAUUUAUUUAAUAAGCAAACCCAAAGUUUCAUCAUAAAAAAUCAAAUUAAUCAUAACACAUAUAUUUCUACAUAAUUAACAUUCCUCAACUUUAAACUUUUCUUAAACUUAAAAGUAAUAUAUAAUAAAUGAACUAAUAUUAGAAAAAUGAAUACAUUCCCAAUACAAUAUUUCUGUAAAACUUAUGUUUAUUUUUAAUAACUUUUUAAUCUUUUGCAAGCCUCCAAAUCCCAAUUCCAAAUCUAGUAGAAAACUCAACAAUUAUCAAACCUAUCUUGAAUUUCAUAAAACUGCUAGGCAGGGCAGAGGACAUAUAAGAUUAGAGGGCGCCAUGGCCCUUACUGAAUUUGAAAAAUUUUUAAGGUUUAUAAGUAAAAUAUGAGAAGUUAGUGUAAAAUGUCCAUAUUGGCCCCUGCACAAUUAAUGUAUAAAGUAUAUAUAUUAGAUCAUAUUGUAAUUUUACUGUUUAGCCCACUAAUGAUACCAUCAAAAUAGUAAGAAACAAAUCCGUCAAGCCCACUAAAACCCAAUAAAUCACUAAUAUAUAAUGACAUAAAAAUUGAAAGUUUAAAUGGUGGGGCUUCCAUGAAAUUUUCCAGUCAACAAAUUACUCUCCCAAAUUUGUCAUUCUCCCAGCUCACUCUCUCAAAGCUCUUUCCUAAUUCCUUCUUCUUUUCCUUUUUUAUUCUUCUUUUCCUUUUUUUAUCUUCUUCAUCCCUCCCUCAUGGAAACAAAUAUUCUUCAAUAAUACCUAAACUGCAUUUUCACAUAAAGAAAA